rnacentral:lncRNA from 1 species
UGUUUGAAAGUUUUUUUUUUUUUUUGUAAACUAGUGUGUUUGAAAGUUUUAAUACAAUAUUUUUAAAAUAUGAGAAUAAAUAAAAGAAAGCUGUGUUAUUUGAUAUUAUACAUAUUCCUAGAUUACCAGUUUACCUCUGAGAAACAAAUAUACCGAAAUAACACUGAAUUACAAGAAAUAAUAACGGUGAAUUCACCAACAAAUUUACUUUAUAAGGUAUGAUCAUAGGCAUGAUCAAACUAACUAGUUC